CAGCAGCCGCGGGAAUACGAAGGGUGCAAGCGUUACUCGGAAUUACUGGGCGUAAAGGGUGCGUAGGUGGUUUUUUAAGUCCGUUGUGAAAUCCCUGGGCUCAACCUGGGAAUGGCAGUGGAUACUGGAAAGCUAGAGUGCGGUAGAGGGUAGUGGAAUUCCCGGUGUAGCAGUGAAAUGCGUAGAGAUCGGGAGGAACACCAGUGGCGAAGGCGGCUACCUGGACCAGCACUGACACUGAAGCACGAAAGCGUGGGGAGCAAACAGGAUUAGAUACCCCCGUAGUCCCUGUCUCUUAUAC
rnacentral:rRNA from 1 species